CACCAGCGCCUCGAGUGGGGAUCGCGAUUAUUGGGUCUAAAGCGUCCGUAGCAGGCCUUGUAAAUGCUUUGUGAAAUCGGCAGGCAUAACCUGUCGGCGUGCAGAGUAGACUGCAGGGCUUGAGACCGGGAGAUGUCAGAAGUAUUCCUAGGGUACCGGUAAAAUGGGUUAAUCCUGGGAGGACUACCGAUGGCGAAGGCAUCUGACAAGAACGGUUCUGACUGUGAGGGACGAAAGCUAGGGGAGCAAAACGG
rnacentral:rRNA from 1 species